CAGCAGCCGCGGGAACACGAAGGGUGCAAGCGUUACUCGGAAUUACUGGGCGUAAAGCGUGCGUAGGUGGUGGUUUAAGUCCGUUGUGAAAGCCCUGGGCUCAACCUGGGAAUUGCAGUGGAUACUGGGUCACUAGAGUGUGGUAGAGGAUAGUGGAAUUUCCGGUGUAGCAGUGAAAUGCGUAGAGAUUGGAAGGAACAUCUGUGGCGAAGGCGACUAUCUGGGCCAACACUGACACUGAGGCACGAAAGCGUGGGGAGCAAACAGGAUUAGAUACCCCCGUAGUCCCUGUCUCUUAUAC
rnacentral:rRNA from 1 species